GCGGCGAGAGGGGGAUGGUUCCUGACCCCCGCAGGCUGAAUUUCGUGCGCCCCGGCCCUUGUCGCCGGAGGAUAGGGCCCUGGGCCUGGCUCAGCUGCUCUCCACAGGACACAGAGCAGGGCCCCUGCGCUGGCUCAGGCUGGGGCACCGUCGUCGGGUCAAGGCUCGGCAAGCCAAGCCCUGCCCCGCCUUCCCUUCUCCAUCUGCUCCAGGCCCAUUUGUCACUUGCUCCCCCGACCUGCUCUCUCUGGAAUGAUCCAGCCAUCUUUGGGUCAGGGGGACACCUUCUGCACCAUCCUGUUGCUGGGCAGGUCACUGGGAGUCUGGUCCUCCGUCCCUGCUGCCUGUGUGUGUGGCCUGCCCAUCAGCCUCUUGGAGCCUCAGCUAUCCAUCGAAACCAGGAAGAUGAAGUGGCUGUGGGAGAUAUUUUCCCUGUGUCCUCCGCUUUUUCUCCUGGUUUCUGCAUCCGCCACCGCCUUCAAGUUUCCACGAGCUCGUGCUGCUCUCUCUCACCGGUUGUUCUGUGUGCACAAUGCAGAGCAACCUGUGAGGUUGGACUUCUUCACUCCAGUCCACAUCAGCCAAGCUCAGCUAUUGUUCUUUAA
rnacentral:lncRNA from 1 species